rnacentral:rRNA from 1 species
UACGUAGGUGGCAAGCGUUGUCCGGAUUUACUGGGCGUAAAGAGCGCGCAGGCGGUCGUUCAAGUCGCGUGUGAAAGCCCCCGGCUCAACUGGGGAGGGUCACGCGAUACUGAUCGACUCGAAGGCAGGAGAGGGUAGUGGAAUUCCCGGUGUAGUGGUGAAAUGCGUAGAUAUCGGAAGGAACAUCAGUGGCGAAAGCGGCUUCCUGGACCAGCACCGACGUUCAGGCACGAAAGCGUGGGGAGCAAACAGG